rnacentral:lncRNA from 1 species
GUCCGGCCAAGGAUGAGCAAGGAACAAAGAGCUUUUAGAACAUUAAGCAUACAUCUAAAUUUAUUUGACCUGAGGAUCCAGCCUGGCCUCUCAAGAGCAGACGCUCACAUGAUAAAACGUGCUGGGAACUCACCAUGUACUCAGCAAAGGGAAGCAAAGAGGGGGAAAAAAAGUUGGCUGAAUGGACCAGCAGGUGAGAUGAAGAGUUGAUUGUCUUCAAACGUAAAAUAUCUCAAGCAAGAAAAGAAGAAAAAAGUCUCUUCAAUAAAUGUUGGCAAUAUUUUCGA